rnacentral:rRNA from 1 species
CAAGUCGAGGGGUAGAAGGAGCUUGCUCCUUUGAGACCGGCGCACGGGUGCGUAACGCGUAUGCAAUCUACCUUGUACAGGGGAAUAGCCCAGAGAAAUUUGGAUUAAUGCCCCAUGGUAUAAUGAGUCGGCAUCGACCUAUUAUUAAAGAUUUAUCGGUACAAGAUGAGCAUGCGUCCCAUUAGUUAGUUGGUAAGGUAACGGCUUACCAAGACGAUGAUGGGUAGGGGUCCUGAGAGGGAGAUCCCCCACACUGGUACUGAGACACGGACCAGACUCCUACGGGAGGCAGCAGUGAGGAAUAUUGGGCAAUGGGCGCAAGCCUGACCCAGCCAUGCCGCGUGCAGGAAGACGGUCCUAUGGAUUGUAAACUGCUUUUAUACGGGAAGAAACACUCCCUCGUGAGGGAGCUUGACGGUACCGUAAGAAUAAGGAUCGGCUAACUCCGUGCCAGCAGCCGCGGUAAUACGGAGGAUCCAAGCGUUAUCCGGAAUCAUUGGGUUUAAAGGGUCCGUAGGCGGCUAGAUAAGUCAGUGGUGAAAUCCCAUCGCUCAACGAUGGAACGGCCAUUGAUACUGUCUGGCUUGAAUUAUUAGGAAGUAACUAGAAUAUGUAGUGUAGCGGUGAAAUGCUUAGAUAUUACAUGGAAUACCAAUUGCGAAGGCAGGUUACUACUAGUUUAUUGACGCUGAUGGACGAAAGCGUGGGGAGCGAACAGGAUUAGAUACCCUGGUAGUCCACGCCGUAAACGAUGGAUACUAGCUGUUCGGAGCAAUCUGAGUGGCUAAGCGAAAGUGAUAAGUAUCCCACCUGGGGAGUACGUUCGCAAGAAUGAAACUCAAAGGAAUUGACGG